rnacentral:rRNA from 1 species
UACGUAGGGGGCAAGCGUUGUCCGGAUUUAUUGGGCGUAAAGAGCGUGUAGGCGGCCAGGUAGGUCUGCUGUGAAAACUCGAGGCUUAACCUCGAGCUGGCGGCCGAAACCAUCUGGCUAGAGUCCGGAAGAGGAGAAUGGAAUUCCCGGUGUAGCGGUGAAAUGCGCAGAUAUCGGGAAGAACACCCGUGGCGAAGGCGGUUCUCUGGGACGGUACUGACGCUGAGACGCGAAAGCGUGGGGAGCGAACAGG